GACGAACGCUGGCGGCGUGCUUAACACAUGCAAGUCGUACGGUAAGGCCCUUUCGGGGGUACACGAGUGGCGAACGGGUGAGUAACACGUGAGUAACCUGCCCACAACUUUGGGAUAACGCUAGGAAACUGGUGCUAAUACUGGAUAUGUGCUCCUGCUGCAUGGGGGGGGUUGGAAAGCUCCGGCGGUUGUGGAUGGACUCGCGGCCUAUCAGCUUGUUGGUGGGGUAGUGGCCUACCAAGGCGGCGACGGGUAGCCGGCCUGAGAGAGUGACCGGCCACAUUGGGACUGAGAUACGGCCCAGACUCCGACGGGAGGCAGCAGUGGGGAAUAUUGCACAAUGGGCGCAAGCCUGAUGCAGCAACGCCGCGUGCGGGAUGACGGCCUUCGGGUUGUAAACCGCUUUCAGCAGGGACGAAGCUUUUUGUGACGGUACCUGCAGAAGAAGCACCGGCUAACUACGUG
rnacentral:rRNA from 1 species